rnacentral:rRNA from 1 species
GCCUAAUACAUGCAAGUCGGACGGGAUUCAGGGAGUAGCUUGCUACGAACUGAUGAGAGUGGCGCACGGGUGCGUAACGCGUGAGCAACCUACCCAUAUCAGGGGGAUAGCCUCUCGAAAGAGAGAUUAACACCGCAUAACAUUGAAGAACGGCAUCGUUUUUCAAUCAAAUAUUUAUAGGAUAUGGAUGGGCUCGCGUGACAUUAGCUAGUUGGAGAGGUAACGGCUCACCAAGGCUACGAUGUCUAGGGGCUCUGAGAGGAGAAUCCCCCACACUGGUACUGAGACACGGACCAGACUCCUACGGGAGGCAGCAGUAAGGAAUAUUGGUCAAUGGAGGCAACUCUGAACCAGCCAUGCCGCGUGCAGGAUGACUGCCCUAUGGGUUGUAAACUGCUUUUGUCASGGAAUAAACCUUUCCACGUGUGGAGAGCUGAAUGUWCCUGAAGAAUAAGGAUCGGCUAACUCCGUGCCASCAGCCGCGGUAAUACGGAGGAUCCAAGCGUUAUCCGGAUUUAUUGGGUUUAAAGGGUGCGUAGGCGGUCCUAUAAGU